CUGGGGAUGCAGCUCAGUGGUAGAGCACUUGCCUAGCAUGUGCAAGGCCCUGGGUUCAAUUCCCAGUGCUAGA
rnacentral:tRNA from 1 species